rnacentral:rRNA from 1 species
UACGUAUGGUGCAAGCGUUAUCCGGAUUUAUUGGGUGUAAAGGGCGUGUAGGCGGGAGCGCAAGUCAGAUGUGAAAACUCAGGGCUCAACCCUGAGCCUGCAUUUGAAACUGUGUUUCUUGAGUGCUGGAGAGGCAAUCGGAAUUCCUGGUGUAGCGGUGAAAUGCGUAGAUAUUAGGAGGAACACCAGUGGCGAAGGCGGAUUGCUGGACAGUAACUGACGCUGAGGCGCGAAAGCGUGGGGAGCAAACAGG